GACGAACGCUGGCGGCGUGCUUAACACAUGCAAGUCGAGCGGGGAUCCGGGACUUCGGUUCUGGAUUCUAGCGGCGGACGGGUGAGUAACGCGUGAACAAUCUGUCCCAGACAGGGGGAUAACAGAUGGAAACAUCUGCUAAUACCGCAUAAGACCACGACACCACAUGGUGAUGAGGUAAAAGAUUUAUCGGUGUGGGGUGAGUUCGCGUCCGAUUAGCUAGUUGGUGAGGUAACGGCCCACCAAGGCGACGAUCGGUAGCCGACCUGAGAGGGUGAUCGGCCACAUUGGAACUGAGACACGGUCCAAACUCCUACGGGAGGCAGCAGUGGGGAAUAUUGGGCAAUGGGCGCAAGCCUGACCCAGCAACGCCGCGUGAGGGAAGAAGGUUUUCGGAUUGUAAACCUCUGUCCUCAAGGACGAAGGAAGUGACGGUACUUGAGGAGGAAGCCCCGGCUAACUACGUGCCAGCCGCCGCAGUAACAC
rnacentral:rRNA from 1 species